rnacentral:rRNA from 1 species
GACAGAGGGUGCAAACGUUGUUCGGAAUUACUGGGCGUAAAGCGCGUGUAGGCAGCUUUGCAAGUCGGAUGUGAAAGCCCUGGGCUCAACCUAGGAAGUGCAUUCGAAACUGCAGAGCUGGAGUCCUGGAGAGGAAGGCGGAAUUCUCGGUGUAGAGGUGAAAUUCGUAGAUAUCGAGAGGAACACCGGUGGCGAAGGCGGCCUUCUGGACAGUGACUGACGCUGAGGCGCGAAAGCGUGGGGAGCAAACAGG